AUGAGGGGCUUGCUUAAGGCCAUAGAGAGAGUGACGAAGACGGCAGGCCAUGCCGUUAGGAACAAAAUACCUAGGUGGUGCCUGCAUGUAAAUCUCCUCACACAAUUCACCAUUAAGAAAGGCAUUCUUAACAUCAAGCUGAGACACAUACUGGUGGCAAACAGAGGCCACAACAAGAAGUGGUCUUAUGGGCCACAUGAGCAGAAGUCUAGUCAUAAUCACUCGUGGUAUUUGCAUGGAAGAUGCCAUGGGAUGGCUAAGAGAGGUGAGAGCAAGGCUACGGUGGAGAUCCGGGACUGGAUUGGGCAACAACACACGGUGAUAUACCCAGGUUCGGGGCCCUCGCGCGGAGGUAACACCCCUACUCCUGCAUGUCUAAUUUAUAUGGAGUGUAUAUGGUGGUACAUGGUUGCUCCUUGA
rnacentral:rRNA from 1 species